UCCCAAGGAAAGGCAGGAUCUAUCCCCACAACAACUAGCUGAAGGUCCCUCUCUGAGGGUAGGGAGGACCUGCUUCAGAUACACCCUGAGGCAUUUUCUCCUUUCUCAUCUGAACUCACUUUGUGUUAAUUCCCCUGGUGUUGUUUAUGGAUUACCCUGGCAGGGGAGAGACUUUGAACUGACCUGGCCAGAAGGUCCAGUCACAGGAAGUGCCAGCGGCUGCCCCAAGAGAGACAGAGAGCUGCCAUGCCAAGCAUGGCCAUGAGGAGGUGCCCAGUGUGUAGCCAGAUGGAUUUGGAAACAAUUCCCAAUGAAAAAUUCUAUAUACAUAGCAUCUUAUCAUACCAAGACAUCUUAGCACCAUAUCAUGCCAAGAAGUACAAUUAAUAGUUCAGUAACACAGGUCAGAUGCUCCCAUCUACUGUGCUGUGAGGAGGGAACAAAAAAUAAUUCAGGGCUAUGAGACUUGGAAGAAUUUUGUUCAUAAACUGCCUCAAAGCAAAGGGGAAGACAAGGCAAGGCUUCAUUCUGUUUUGGUGUAAUAAAAAAUAAGAGGGCAGUAUCAUGGUGGUCUCUAGGCUGAGUUCCAGAGAGAAUAUACUGAAUUAAACCAUGGCUGCUGGCUGUGCUGUGUUUAACUGCUGUGAGCAUUGAUGGCUCCGGGCUGAGUCCUUUUAUG